UGAGGAAUAUUGCGCAAUGGGGGCAACCCUGACGCAGCAACGCCGCGUGGACGAUGAAGGCCUUCGGGUCGUAAAGUCCUUUUCUGAGGAAAGAUAAUGACGGUACCUCAGGAAUAAGUCCCGGCUAACUACGUGCCAGCAGCCGCGGUAAAAACGUAGGGGGCGAGCGUUAUCCGGAUUUAUUGGGCGUAAAGCGCACGUAGGCGGCAUUAUAAGUUGGAUGUGAAAGCUCCCGGCUCAACUGGGAGAGGCCGUUCAAUACUGUUAUGCUUGAGGUUAGAAGAGGAGAGUGGAAUUCCCGGUGUAGUGGUGGAAUGCGUAGAUAUCGGGAGGAACACCAGUGGCGAAGGCGACUCUCUGGUCUACACCUGACGCUGAGGUGCGAAAGCGUGGGUAGCGAACGGGAUUAGAUACCCGGUAGUCCACGCUGUAAACGAUGGAUACUAGGUGUAGGGGGUUACUUAAGUCCCUCUGUGCCGAAGCAAACGCGUUAAGUAUCCCGCCU
rnacentral:rRNA from 1 species